GGAAGGCAUUCGUAUCCGGUGGUACGGCCGGACUUCAAAUCCGGUUAGGGGCGUCAGACGCUCCUGGGUAGGUUCGACUCCUGCUGCCUUCCGCCA
rnacentral:tRNA from 1 species